rnacentral:lncRNA from 10 species
UGGGCACCUGUAGUCCCAGCUACUCGGGAGGCUGAGGCAGGAGAAUGGCGUGAACCCGGGAGGCGGAGCUUGCAGUGAGCUGAGAUGGCACCACUGCACUCCAGCCUGGGUGACAGAGUGAGACUCCGUCUCAAAAAUAAUAAUAAUAAUAAUGUUCUUAGUAUACAAAAGCUACCCGACAGGAUUCUAGCUCGGCAUAUAUCAAAUAAAAAAUAAAAGAAGAGGGAAACAAGUGCAUAGAAUAAUUCAGAAAUUAUGGGGCUAUGUACCUGUUGGGCCAAAGGCACAAACCCACCCUGCUGUGUGCAGGACUGUUUUACUCUUGAUGAGACAGAAGUUACCAUCCACCAUGGGUUGGCAGCUAGGGCUCUCGGACUUCACUACACUCUCCAGGACAAAACCCCACGAGAACAAAUGUGUUCCCCUGGUAGCUGAUCUACCACAGGACAGUAGGCAGAGACAAAAGCAAGCACUGAAAUGUCCUCGGUUUACCCCUUUCCUGAAGGCCCUGUCCAACUCUUACCAAUGGAAAGGACACUGGGACACUGGCUCCAGGCUGUACUUCCUCAAGUUUCUGUGCUCCUGACACUUUCUGGAAAUAGAAAGGGUCUUUACCUUCACGUGGGUGACUCAGAACUGGAGAAGCCCCUCCAUCUUGACCUGAAAUCAAAGCCCAAGACACCAAAGCCAGAAGAGCAGAUUCUAACUGACAGCUUGGGGUGCCCUGGAACACUAACAGCUUGGGGUGAAGGCACCUUAGCCCAACAACGUGGCAGCAAAACAACAAAACAACCAGAACCACACCAAUGAUUUCCAGUAUUUCUCUGAGGACUCGGCCCACGUUGUGGGCCAUGCUGUCUUCCAUUCCACAUGGAGAAACAUUUCCCCCCAUUUUACCAAAGAGGAAACUGAGGCACAGAGGAAUCAUGAGAGGGGGCCAAUCAAGUCACCCAAUGUAAGGGAAAAAGACCCAACUUUCCAGACCUUCCACGCCUAUGCCCUGUUCUUGAAUGUAUACGGGACUUGACUCAGACCACUAAAAUGACAGUGUCCUGGAAAUGAGGAUGAGCAAGGGGAAGACUCUGGCAAAACCCCCCAGAAUGUUUAGGAAGCACAGCUCUUUGAAAGGGAAUCACUGUUGGGGCAGUGUGGCAACUCCCACUCCAGGCCAGUCCCUCACUUUCACUCUUUGCCACUUCAAUAAAGUUUCUCUUUCAUGUGAG